CCCCACGGGGGGUGGAUAGACUGCGAGUCGUGCGUCUCUAAGCUAUGGUAGAGACGCGGCAUACGGCUCAGUAACACGUGGCUAACCUACCCUUGGGACGGAGACACCCCCGGGAAACCACGCACAGGCACGUAAUCAGCUUUCUCGACACGCUCAAAGCAUAGCUAUGCGCACAUAGUUCAUGUACAACCCGCUUUCCUUAACGGAAAAACCAACCUAAGAAGCUUUGAGUCAACAAUUCACGGUAACACAUCACCGCUAACAGAAACAAACAGAAGCUCUGGCGUGGCCCAAAACUGGGGUUAAUACCCGAUGGGUGAAGAGGCCUGGAAUGGUUCUCCACCGAAAAGACGUUGAAACCACGCUUUUCAACGUUGCCCAAGGAUUGGGCCGCGUCCGAUCAGGUUGUUGGUGGGGUAACGGCUCACCAAGCCUAUAACCGGUACGGGCCGUGAGAGCGGGAGCCCGGAGAUGGGCACUGAGAUAAGGGCCCAGGCCCUACGGGGCGCAGCAGUCGCGAAAACUCCGCAAUGCGCGAAAGCGUGACGGGGCUACCCCGAGUGUCGUCCGCUGAGGAUGACUUUUCCCCGGUGUAAGGAGCCGGGGGAAUAAGGAGAGGGCAAGCCUGGUGUCAGCCGCCGCGGUAAUACCAGCUCUCCGAGUGGUAGGGAUGAUUAUUUGGCUUAAAGCGUCCGUAGCCGGCCCGGCAAGUCUCCCGUUAAAUCCGGCGACCUAAUCGUUGGGCUGCAGGAGAUACUGUUGGGCUAGGAGGCGUGAGAGGCCGACGGUAUUCCCGGGGUAGGGUGAAAUCCUAUAAUCCUGGGAGGACCACCAGUGGCGAAAGCUGUCGGCUAGAACGCGCUCGACGGUGAGGGACGAAAGCUGGGGGAGCGAACCGGAUUAGAUACCCGGG
rnacentral:rRNA from 1 species